UACGUAGGGUGCAAGCGUUAAUCGGAAUUACUGGGCGUAAAGCGUGCGCAGGCGGUUAUGCAAGACAGAGGUGAAAUCCCCGGGCUCAACCUGGGAACUGCCUUUGUGACUGCAUAGCUAGAGUACGGCAGAGGGGGAUGGAAUUCCGCGUGUAGCAGUGAAAUGCGUAGAUAUGCGGAGAACACCGAUGGCGAAGGCAAUCCCCUGGGCCUGUACUGACGCUCAUGCACGAAAGCGUGGGGAGCAAACAGG
rnacentral:rRNA from 1 species